GUAAAAUGUUUUACUGUUCGUCUGUAUGGUCUAAUACUGCAGAGAAAAAUCUAAAAAAGCUACAGACUGCACAGAAUUUCGCUGCACGCAUUGUGACGGGAACUCGUAAAUACGAUCACAUUACUCCCGUAUUGAAAGACCUUAAGUGGCUACCCGUUAAAUUACAACUUUAUUAUCGAGACGCGAUCCUGGCGUACAAAUGUAUGAAUGGCCACGCUCCAUCUUACUUGUCUAGUCAGUUUAUUAAACGAUGUGACGUGAGUAAGCGGACUACCAGAAGCUCACAGUUGCUGAAUAUUCCACUGUUUAAGACCGCUAGUGGCCAAAGAUCCUUUUAUUACCGUACAGUAAGCUUAUGGAACUCAUUAGAAACUUCUUUAAAAUUAAGUGACUCUGUACAUAUUUUUAAGCAAAAAAUGAAAACUCAAUUACUAAAUCAGUUUAUACUAUCUUAGGACUAGUAUUUCGUUUUGUACAUAAUUAGUUUAUUACUUAUUGUAAAUGAUCACUGAAAAGCCUCCUUGGGGAGUGUUCAUUAAAUUAUUGUAUUGUAUUGUAU
rnacentral:lncRNA from 1 species